GACAGCAGUAGCCGCGGUAACACGUAGGUGGCAAGCGUUGUCCGGAAUUAUUGGGCGUAAAGGGCUCGCAGGCGGUUUCUUAAGUCUGAUGUGAAAGCCCCCGGCUCAACCGGGGAGGGUCAUUGGAAACUGGGAAACUUGAGUGCAGAAGAGGAGAGUGGAAUUCCACGUGUAGCGGUGAAAUGCGUAGAGAUGUGGAGGAACACCAGUGGCGAAGGCGACUCUCUGGUCUGUAACUGACGCUGAGGAGCGAAAGCGUGGGGAGCGAACAGGAUUAGAUACCCGCGUAGUCCCUGUCUCUUAUAC
rnacentral:rRNA from 1 species